CUCCGCACGGUGGAUCUCUGGGCUCGCGCAUCGAUGAAGAACGCAGCCAACUGCGAGAAACGUAGUGUGAAUUGCAGAUCGAAUCGUCGACUCUUUGAACGCAAAUGGCGCUCGUCGCUUCGAGCGGCGAGCAUGGCCGGUCGAGAGUCCCUUUCCCCCGU
rnacentral:rRNA from 1 species